GACUCGUCGAGCACAUCUCUGGCAAAGUGGUGCGGAGACGAGAGACCAUCUGUAGAGAGCUCAGGACCACACGUGUUUAUAGAAUUCCGUGCUAGUGGUUCCAAGAACCAUGGUGUGUUUGUGAUCAAAUAUAGUAUUAUAGUGGAAUUGAAACCCCAAAACACACACAAGCCACAAGAAGAGUACGGAAACAGCGCCACUCGACCCUCAAAUUUAAUUCUGAUAUCUAUCGUGGUUGUGGUCGUUCUCAUAGUCUUCAUCAGUAUAUGUACUUGGAAAUUUCGCCAGAAACGACGCCAUCGGUCAUCAAAUACUGCUUGUGCUGUAAUGACCACCACGAGGCCUUCAGACCCAGUAGCAUCCGAUUACGAUCCUAAUCACCGGGAGAUUAUGCCAUUAGCAUCCGAUUACGAUCCUAAUCACGAGGCGGUGAUGCCUUCUACGGGAGCUGAAGGUGAAACAGAAUUGCCCUCAUACACCGCAGCUUGUGUGAGCCAAGCUCCCCCGUCAUACGAUAGUCUGUUUUGCCAGAACAGAGGAAAAUAUUGAUCUGAACCAUUGGACACGAGGUGUAAACAUUCCCCACAACAAAGAUGUAGUCCGUUUACAAGAUGUAUCAGUAUCGUUGAAGUCUUUCGUUAUGACAGACUGUGUUCUGGGAAAACGAAAUCCUACGAAAACUGUUUUCUAGUGCAAUCUCAUGCAUAUAGACGCAAAGGUAACAACAUUCUUGUAGAAUGAUCAUGAUGGUGUGCAUUAGAACUCAGGUCACCAAUCAGUCUAGCACCUUAUUAUUAUAAUACGGUCGUUUGUGUCGAUGACAGUGUCAUUGAAAUAAGAUCUUAUUGUUACUCGUAACUAAGAUCUGAUUUCAAGAUACACUCGGUAUUCCAUGAGGAUGAUCUUAUAUGUUCCCUCAUAAUGGCUUUGCAUUGUACAAAUACCAACAUUUACCAAUAUUUAUAUUUUUGACUACAUUUGUUGAUUAACGUUACAAUCAGAAAUAUCAGUGGCAUACGACAGUGGCAUGUGGAUAAUCGAGUAUGGAUCACAAAGUCUAGUUUUGAUUUAAUACAUUAAAUUUUAAUAUUGUUUAACAUUGAUAAAAAGCAAUUGAACAACAAAUCACAGACAACUGACAGUGGCCUUUUGGAUAAACGCAGGUCAAUCUGACCGCCCAUCGACUACGAUUUGCAUGAACACUUGACAGUUGUGUUUUUCAAUAUGUGUGAAGCAAGUUACCAGUGACCGAUUCAGUUGAAAGUUCAGAUCUUGUCACAGAUACAAUGUACAAGCCAUGUGACAACGAUAUACAGUUAAACAGUGAAGUACAUAUCACAGAGUCAGUACUCAAGAUUGAUGUCGAGAAUUCAAUAUGACGUGCGCUAUAGUGUAACCAGGUUGUCGUUGUACAAGAUAACCUAAGACAAAGCUAAGUCUAUGCUAAGGUGUGAGAGUUACGGUCACCUUAGCACUGAGAUAGCUUUGUACCUUAAACGCUGGACUCGAUUACUUACAGACCGCCGUCUGGUUGGAAAGUUGCUGAGUGCGGCGUUAAACAACAAACAAUCACAACAGGUUGUUAUCUGUUAUAUAUUGUGUUUCGGUGACCGUUGAGUAUUUAAUAGAAUUAUUUUUAUUGUCUUGAGUAUUAACUGAAAUUAACAUUAACCCAUAUGAACACUUGUUCCGAUUGCAACUGGUUCGUUCUUACUUUAUUCAAAUGCAGGUUCAUGCAUAGUAUCCUAAAUGUAUAUAGCUUUAUAUUAAGUAGGACAAAGAACAUUAGGAAUGCUUGUGGCAGCUACAACUAGUCCAACAGCGAGCCAAGUGAGUUGUUCAAUAUUACCUCUGUUCACCCAGCAAUGAAUGGGUACCCAGUGGGAUACUCGUUAAGUCGUGUGACUGUCACCUUCAAGUGCCUAACGGGCAGUUAUCCAGGGUAAUAAUGUGUCGUGCUAUUCAUUGUUAGUGCUAUGAGCAUACCUGGUGUGGAGUUUGGCGCUAUAUAAAUGGACACAUUGUUAUCAUCUAUUAUUAUCUACAUAUUUAUAUUCACUUUGGAGGUGAUAGUAUUAUAUAAUAAUCAAAGCGUUCGUCCAUCACAUGGUGGAUCCAGGUCCAGUUCCAAACAUGGUACAAACCGUGAAACCAAAUGUACAUAAAUACCUCUUCAUAAUCAUUGUUGGGGAAGGGAAUGGGGUUAUCGAUUUCGUUUAUUACCUGGAAAUAUUCAUGGGCAAUUUUCAUAUUACACAUUUUGUAAAGUAUUGGUUCCAUGAGAAGAAUGUGAAGGAUAAGAUUUAAUGUCAUAUGAACAGGUGCGUUUUGGUGUAAAGUUUUGUUAAGAAUUUGCCAAUUUUCACUGACUGUUAUCAUUUAUUGAACUCAUUACAAUAAUCUUUUCAACGUUACGAAUUUGUUUAAAAUCCGAAUUUGUUCAUGUGUAAACAGCACCUUUAAACAGUAUGGAAUAUUUUGCUUUGAUAAUUCUGAUAUAGAAUCUAGUUGUUUGCACUGUGAUAUGAAUGUUGUAGAAAAUGCAUACCAUGUUAUCUUUAUCUGUAAUAGAUAUUUUCUGCUCCGUAAUGAAUACUAUUUGUUCAUCAAAAUAUAUUGUAAAACUAGAUUAACAUUGCAACAAAUAUAAAACACACCUGAUUUAAAUAUAUUACGUUUUACAUCUAUAAUAUUUGCUCAAAAUAUUUAGCUUAAGAUGUUCUUAAUUUUAUAAUUUUGGUCAUGUGACAACGACUGUUACCUUACAAUACAGUUGUACUUGGGUCAUGUGGCCCAAAAUACGGAAUAAAUAAACUUGAGACUGUUUUGCAAAAUCUAUUUUAGAACAGUU
rnacentral:lncRNA from 1 species